AUUGUUCCACUCAAUUGAAGUCUUGUCCUGCAGGGCACUCAGGUCGCCGCCAACCUUCUGCAAGAAGGUGCUCACACCCUGUUCGGAAACAAGAGGCUCCGUCCCAGCAGGCCGGGAAGCAUCUCUUGAAACGACGGCAGGCGCGGGCUGGACG
rnacentral:SRP_RNA from 14 species